AAAGAUGUGCAAUCUCUGCAAAGUGUAAAACUGAUCGAUCAGCCAUGCUCACGGUUAAGAGUGGCCUGGACCCUCACAUAAUAAUAUUAUCGAAAGAUGGACUAAAAUCUUUGUCAUUUAUUCAUGGUUAUGUUGCUAUUCUAUUUAUGUUCUUGUUUAAUUUCAGGUGGUAUAAACUUACACUUAGUUAAUUGCUAAUAAAAUUUGACCAACUAAAUUAAAAGCUGAUGCUGAUUAAACCUUAG
rnacentral:lncRNA from 1 species